GUCCUACUUUUCCUUCCCGUUUUUUGGUUUCGUCGUUUCUUUUUUCGUUACUGGACUAUUACACGGUCCUGUUAGAGUUCUAUUUCAGAGUGAACACUGGUUCUCCAAACUAAAGCAAGUAAUAUAGAAAACAGAUACUUGAACCACCGCCCUCUUUCUUCCUCUCCGUCAGCCACAUACGACCAAGUGACUCUUUCUCCCAGCAGAGAUUAACUUUGCAGACAAGACCAAAUACUACUCAUAACACUUAACAGUCCGCUAAUUAGCCCGCUGUAGAUACAGAAAAUAUAACAAAAACCCAUAUACAAAAACUCUUUAAAACCCCAAGAUUUUUGAAGAAUUGAAGAGAUGGGAGCUGAUAUACCCUAUUGUGGAACAAAGUUUGUGCUGUAUGUGUUUGCAAGUUUGGGUUUGGUAUUGCUUGCUGGGCUUAUGGCUGGCCUUACUCCUGGCCUUAUGUCUCUUGGUCUUGUGGACCUUAAGGUUCUUAUCAAGUCUGGGCGGCCUCAAGAUCGUAAGCAUGCUGGACAGAGGAAAGGUUAAUGCAAAAAUCCAAUCUGAAAGAUGUGAAGACGAAUGUGAUGAAGCUGUUCUGCUCAAGUGUGGAUUUAGGAUGUUGGGUGCAGACUUUUUCAAUGAUACUAAGAUGCUGGAGAUUAAUAAUGGUGCCAAAGAGCUUAACAUCCCCACCAGCGAUGCCAACAGGAAACUGGUUGUUUCGGACAAUGGGGGCUUGCAGAACCCAUCUUAUUUGAUAUUUAAUCUUGUGUGGGAUUCUAAAGGAGCACCAAGUCCUAACAAAAGAUUCAACUAUCCAUCAGUGUCAGGUGUGCAGAAGCCAAUUUCUGAUGAAGACAUUGCUUUUAUGACUGUUCUUGAACCGGGGCAACUCAUUAAGACCAAACAAAUUUCAUCUGAGGAGCUUACAAAGAUUUUCCUGAAGAGGCUGAAGAGGUAUAAUCCUGUUCUUGAAGCUGUAAUCACUUUCACUGAGGAACUGGCAUACAAGCAAGCCAAGGAGGCUGAUCAUCUGCUGUCCCAAGGAGUGUAUUUAGAUAUCAUUCCAGUACUGAAGCAUGCGCAGCAAUUCUCUAGAAGACUGCCAAAGCAUCUCCGAAGGCGGCUGAGAAGCUUAAAAUAACUGCUACUGAACUGACUAAGCUGCGAAUUUCAGAUGGCAUUAUCCCUAACCUGAGAUGCCGAGGGGAGCUGGAAGUGUGAGAAAUGCAACAAUAUCAAUUAUCCUUUUAGGACAAAGUGCAAUAGACAAAAUUGUGGGGCUGAUAAGCCGUCCGACACCAAGAAGUCCCCUUCAGAACCUGUAGAUGAUAAUGAUCAGUCUGCUUCCAUAAUGGAGAGCUAUUGGCACUUGGCACAGGAGCUUGGUAUUAAUUGAAUUGCAAGUCCCUGUAGUUCUCUUCUUUUCUGCCACUUAAAGGAUUGCAGAAGAUUGUUUUAAAGAACUACUAUCCGAGCAUUGAUCACUACUCACCAGGUCGACUACUAUCCACUCCCCGGUGCUCCAUAUAUCUCUGAAGGGUCAAAUUACGAUAGGAAUUUGGCCAAAAACAAUCUCACUGGACUGAUACAAUUCUGUAAUGGAUCAGAGGUUUCAGAUAUUUUUACUGCUGUUAUCCAUUCAAUUUUUUAGUAUAGCAUUGCAGGAUGGUGAGUUCACUUGAUCUUUAUGUUCUUCGUAGUUUUUAUGCCUUCUACUGUGGUUAUGCAUGUUUAAUUUGUGUCUUUAGAUUGCUAAGAAAGUUAAGCAAAAUUUUGAAUUGUAUAUACAGAAGGCUGACUAUGCUUCUUUUUAUGUGCUCCAGUUCCAAGCUUUACGUUCAAUGGUGCAUACAAAUCCUGAACUGUCUCAGCCUGUUGUGAAUUCCUCAACAUUGUCUCAGCCAGACUGUAGAUGCUCCACGAGUCCGAAGGUACUGCAGCUAAAGAAUGUAUUCAACAACUCGAGUACUCAGGUUCGAGGACUGAUGAGGGAAGAUUUGAGGAACAAAAAAUGGGUGAAGUUCAAAUUUGUACAACUCGGAUGAGGGUGAAAGAAAAUGAGAAUGCUGAUUUGAAGAGUUUCAAAAUUGCUGGAACUAAAGAUAGUAAUAAAAAUUCAUUUGAUCAAAGCGCAGUUGUGGAGAACUGUUCUGUCAUUGGCCAAAAGGUUACCGGUGCUCAAGAGUGUAAUGUAAAUAUAUCUCAUUCUGUUCAUAACAAUAGUGAUGAUAUACAUGACGCAAGAAGGUCUGGCAACCAGGUCAUCCAAAAGUAGAUAGUAGUAAAGAGCGUCUCAGUGCAACACCUGGGCAUGUGAUGAAAUAUGAAGAUGAGGAUAGUCGAUUUGCAGCUACAAAAUUGUUGAAAUGCUUGAUGUGAAUAUACCUUAAGGUUUAGAUGAUAAGAAUAAUGAGGACAAGCGGAGUAAGUACCUCUACUAUGACCCACCACCUUUUGAAGAAACAUGGA